AUUCAGAGUUUGAUCCUGGCUCAGGACGAACGCUGGCGGCGUGCUUAACACAUGCAAGUCGAACGGUAAGGCCCCUUCGGGGGUACACGAGUGGCGAACGGGUGAGUAACACGUGGGUAAUCUGCCCUGCACUUCGGGAUAAGCCUGGGAAACUGGGUCUAAUACCGGAUAUGAACUCCUGCCGCAUGGUGGGGGUUGGAAAGUUUUUCGGUGCAGGAUGAGCCCGCGGCCUAUCAGCUUGUUGGUGGGGUAAUGGCCUACCAAGGCGACGACGGGUAGCCGGCCUGAGAGGGUGAUCGGCCACACUGGGACUGAGACACGGCCCAGACUCCUACGGGAGGCAGCAGUGGGGAAUAUUGCACAAUGGGCGAAAGCCUGAUGCAGCGACGCCGCGUGGGGGAUGACGGUCUUCGGAUUGUAAACCCCUUUCAGUAGGGACGAAGCGCAAGUGACGGUACCUGCAGAAGAAGCACCGGCUAACUACGUGCCAGCAGCCGCGGUAAUACGUAGGGUGCGAGCGUUGUCCGGAAUUACUGGGCGUAAAGAGCUCGUAGGCGGUUUGUCACGUCGUCUGUGAAAUCCCUCGGCUUAACCGGGGGCGUGCAGGCGAUACGGGCAGACUUGAGUACUACAGGGGAGACUGGAAUUCCUGGUGUAGCGGUGAAA
rnacentral:rRNA from 1 species